rnacentral:tRNA from 1 species
GGUCGCGUGGCCAAAUGGCAAGGCGUCUGGCUACGAACCAGAAGAUUGGUGGGUUCGAUCCCCACCGUGACCU